rnacentral:rRNA from 1 species
CGCGGUAAUACGUAGGUGGCAAGCGUUGUCCGGGAUUUACUGGGCGUAAAGGAUGUGUAGGCGGAUACUUAAGUGAGAUGUGAAAGCCCCGGGCUUAACCUGGGGACUGCAUUUCAAACUGGGUAUCUAGAGUGCAGGAGAGGAAAGCGGAAUUCCUAGUGUAGCGGUGAAAUGCGUAGAGAUUAGGAAGAACAUCAGUGGCGAAGGCGGCUUUCUGGACUGUAACUGACGCUGAGGCAUGAAAGCGUGGGGAGCAAACAGGAUUAGAUACCCUGGUAGUCCACGCCGUAAACGAUGAGUACUAGGUGUAGGAGGUAUCGACUCCUUCUGUGCCGCAGUUAACACAAUAAGUACUCCGCCUGGGAAGUACGGUCGCAAGAUUAAAACUCAAAGGAAUUGACGGGGGCCCGCACAAGCAGCGGAGCAUGUGGUUUAAUUCGAAGCAACGCGAAGAACCUUACCUAGACUUGACAUCUCCUGAAUAGCGUAGAGAUACGUGAAGCCCUUCGGGGCAGGAAGACAGGUGGUGCAUGGUUGUCGUCAGCUCGUGUCGUGAGAUGUUGGGUUAAGUCCCGCAACGAGCGCAACCCUUAUCAUUAGUUGCUACCAUUAAGUUGAGCACUCUAGUGAGACUGCCCGGGUUAACCGGGAGGAAGGCGGGGAUGACGUCAAAUCAUCAUGCCCCUUAUGUCUAGGGCUACACACGUGCUACAAUGGUGAGAACAACGAGAUGCAAUACCGCGAGGUGGAGCCAAACUUGAAAACUCAUCCCAGUUCGGAUUGCAGGCUGAAAUUCGCCUGCAUGAAGUUGGAGUUGCUAGUAAUCGCGAAUCAGAAUGUCGCGGUGAAUACGUUCCCGGGCCUUGUACACACCGCCCGUCACACCAUGAGAGCUGGUAACACCCGAAGU